CAGAAGAGGCACUAAUGGAUCUGAACCUACCAGAUGCUUUUUAAAAUGAAAUGAGCGCUGGAAGGAUUGCUAACACAAAGUAUGGAUGACCAUCUCUGUCCUUCAAUUUUAUAACUCCUCAUUGUUCUGAAAUAGAGGUGUAUACCAGAAAAAUCACAAUGGCUUUGAACUAUGGAUCAACACAACAUGUGAAGACACGAGGCCCCCAAUAUUAUUUGGAUCUUAAAUGUUAUCAGAGCCUCCUGUAUCGAAGGUCUUGUCUUUGAUAUAGCAGUGUUCAGAGAGGACCCUCUGGGAGAGACUGGAUCAUGAGACUCGGUCCUGGUGAAGAAAUCAGCCCAUUCGUGGACUCUCCAGUGUGCUUUUGAGGAUCUAGAGACUUCAGAUGCUCAUUGGAGAUAGAAGGUCACUGGAGUUAUACUUUGAAAUGGUGUGUUUUAUUUCUGACCACCUGCUUCUUCAUGAUUGCCAUGAAGAGUCCCAUUCUUCUAUUCAUGGUCCCCUUUGAGGGACAGAACAUUAAAAACAGAACACCAGCUUAGUGAGACUCAGAAUCUGAUCCCAAUUCGAAGCCAAAGGCUGUCCACAGAGUGAGUACCCAGCAUUGCAGUACUCUGGGGCAGGGUACAAGAAAGGCUAUUUCUCAUGACUCAGAUUAAAACCACAACAACACUGCUGAUCAAAGGUGAAUAUAGGUUAAAAAAAUACCUAUCUGAUUUAAAGUUUGGUCUCAGAUCCAAAAUAAUACAUCUUCUAAUAAUUGUCCCAUGGAUAUGACAGUCCUACUAGCUAGCAGAGCUUUCCUUCAACCCAGAUGUCAGAAGAACAUGACAUAAAAGAAGCUCCCACCUUGCUAUUUCAGCAGAAAUGGACUGCUGAGGCCAAACUUAGGUAUUCAUGGCCACUGUGCAAGCCGACCUUGUGCUGGCAUUCUGAACAGACUCCAAAGGAUCUGAUUUAGGUGAUCCUGCUAUAACUAGAUGCCAAGAACUCAAAUGUGAUGGAUUGUCUCAGAGUCAAUGCCAACUUUACUGGGUGUGUUGUGGAUCUUGCAACAUGAAUGGAUUUAUGCUAUAGAGUUUGACAGCUGUGGCGCCAGAAGAUAAACAGAAUUACAAGAUCAUUCAUGAAAGCCGAUCUUGCUGGCAAAACAGGAGAACACAUGGCUGGCCAAGUUCUUUCAAGAUCAGACAGGUCCUGACAAUGGCUUUAUCUUGGAUGUUCUGAGAGAUGCCCCUCCACCAGCUCACAGCAGCCAAAUUUAUGUGAAGGCUGUCAGGUGUCUAGAGGCAAAGCUCAUCAGAUGGUGGUUGGACUAUCAGCUAAGUAUCACACUCUUAAGGACAAGACACCAGCAAGGAAGAUGAAGACUUACUGUUUGUUCUCUGCUCAAGAGAGUAAGAGAUGACUAGGAACUAGCUUGAGAACAGCGUCAGCUAAGAGAAAGAAAUUCAUUCAAGUACAACUCAUUUGAACUUGGCAUGGACUAUAAAAGAAGACUAUUUUGGGACAACCUGAAAUAGAUUUAAAUUAGACAAAAAAAUCCAUAAUAAAAUAUUUGUGUAUUUGAAGCUUAA